rnacentral:lncRNA from 1 species
GGAUUGUGCAAGCAAGCAGACCACCAUGCCUGAUUCUGUAUCAAUGUCUUUUACCCUAAAUUCUUUUCAAUAUUAAUGUCAUCAUAUCACAUUCUUUUGAAUGGAAUCACAUAAUUGAGAUUCAUUCCCUUCUAUAUGUUGUAUUUUCUAAGAAACUUCUUUUGGAUGAUUUUUGAAAAUAAAAUGCCGCUAUCUCCAUUUAUUUCCUCUUGUUCUUCCUGAGAUACACAUAAGAUCAUGGUGUUUCCUCUGAUCUCAAGAAAGAAAAGACAACAGACAAAAGAAGGAACCAUUUCCCAGCCCAUCUUCAUGACCUAUUGAGUUCAUGUGGAUUACUUACAGUUUCCCAAUCUCCUAGGUGAGGAAC